rnacentral:rRNA from 1 species
UGGGGAAUAUUGCACAAUGGGCGCAAGCCUGAUGCAGCAACGCCGCGUGAACGAUGAAGGUCUUCGGAUCGUAAAGUUCUGUUGCAGGGGAAGAUAAUGACGGUACCCUGUGAGGAAGCCCCGGCUAACUACGUGCCAGCAGCCGCGGUAAUACGUAGGGGGCUAGCGUUAUCCGGAUUUACUGGGCGUAAAGGGUGCGUAGGUGGUCCUUCAAGUCGGUGGUUAAAGGCUACGGCUCAACCGUAGUAAGCCGCCGAAACUGGAGGACUUGAGUGCAGGAGAGGAAGGUGGAAUUCCCAGUGUAGCGGUGAAAGGCGUAGAUAUUGGGAGGAACACCAGUAGCGAAGGCGGCUUUCUGGACUGCAACUGACACUGGGGCACGAAAGCGUGGGUAGCAAACAGG